rnacentral:lncRNA from 1 species
GAUUUAUGCAGGAAUGAACUGUGUCCUACACUGAAAGAAAUAUCUAUAGAUUUCACAGCAUUACCACUGAUUAGUGAACACAUUCUGAGUGUAGAACCUGUAUGCAUACAUGUUCCUUUAAAUCUGCAAAGCAUCAUGGAGGAAAUUAAUUGGUGGGUGAUUUCUACAGUAUUUUUGCACUAAUUUUGCUGGAAGGACAAACUGUGGGGGAAAAGAGAAGAAAACACAGAAAGGAAAAAGCCUGAAUAAGGAGCUGCUGUUUUCCAGUACACAUACCAGUUACAAUUUGUAAAUGAUACUAUUGCUCAUUGGAGUAUUUGAGGCUUUACUUGUGGAUGGGUGGAAGGACUGGAGGCAGGAUUCACCACCAAGAGAGGGACGAAUACAUCCAAGGUAUAGCUGAACCAGCUCAGGCCAAACCCCCUCCCCACCAGUAACCCGAGGGCUCUUCCAUCACUUCAGUUAAGAUUAUUUUCUCAUUAUUAAAUCUACAGUACACAAUGUCAGUGUCCCACAGUAUACUGGUGAGGGGUCAGGUCUACUGAUAUCAUCACAGUUU